GAUGAACGCUAGCUACAGGCUUAACACAUGCAAGUCGAGGGGAAACGGCAUCGAAAUCUUGCUUUUGAUGGGCGUCGACCGGCGCACGGGUGAGUAACGCGUAUCCAACCUGCCCAUCACUUGGGAAUAACCUUGCGAAAGUAAGACUAAUGCCCAAUGACAUCCCACGAAGGCAUCCGAAUGGUAUUAAAGAUUUAUCGGUGAUGGAUGGGGAUGCGUCUGAUUAGCUUGUUGGCGGGUUGACGGCCCACCAAGGCAACGAUCAGUAGGGGUUCUGAGAGUAAGGUCCCCCACAUUGGAACUGAGCAACGGUCCAAACUCAUACGGGAGGCAGCAGUGAGGAAUAUUGGUCAAUGGGCGAGAGCCUGAACCAGCCAAGUAGCGUGCAGGAUGACGGCCCUAUGGGUUGUAAACUGCUUUUAUAAGGGAAUAAAGUGGGUCACGUGUGACUUUUUGCAUGUACCUUAUGAAUAAGGACCGGCUAAUUACGUG
rnacentral:rRNA from 1 species